CCGUGCUCUAGUUGCCCCUAACCCAGCAACAACAACACCAGAGGCCUCUCAGCCUAGUAGCGGCUCGUGAAAUUAUUACAAUGUCCCGUUUUCUGUCCUUGGGUCCUUGGGUUGGUUAGCUUAGGGUGCUUUAGUACGAUAGUUUCUUGAUGUUGGGGACCGCUUGCGAGAACGGACUGUGGCGCUAGGCAUUAAGGAAAAUGUAUUGUCAUCGGAUGAUUGCUAAUGCUCCAUCCCUACCAAGAAAUGGAUGGAAGAUGAGGAAAUAUGUUGACUCACCAACACACUGUAGGUUUCCUAUUCACCAGAUAACGGAUGGCAUUAAAGAACAGAAUCUGAGGGAUCAGAUUACAGCAGAGACUUGCCUAAGUAGAAACCAUUUGACACCUGAAUUACAGCUGAAUCUAAUUACUCACUUAUGCCGGCUUUGGACAUGUGACCCGAAGCACUCCCCAUUUCGUGACCCUUUCUGGGCCUUCUAUUGGCCAGGUGGGCAGGCUGUGUCCAGGUUUGUACUUGAUAAUUCACAAAUUAUUAAAGGAAAGAAAGUUCUUGAUUUUGGAAGUGGCUGCGGGGCAAGUGGAUUGGCAGCAAAAUUAUGUAGAGCUAAGCAAGUUACCUUUAAUGAUAUAGAUGAAGCUGCUAUAGAAUCUGUGUUGCUGAAUGGGUUAAAAAACAAGCUAACAAUAGAUGACGUCUCUACGGCAAACCUCGUUGGUACAAAAUGUCACCAUUAUGAUGUUAUUCUUGUUGGUGAUAUGCUUUAUGAUGCUGAAUUUGCAAAUGAAGUUUUGUCUUGGUUAAAAGGGAUCCAUGAGAGUGGUUCCUUGGUGCUUAUAGGAGACCCUGGAAGAUUUGCUCUAGCCUCUCAUCCCCUGAAGACAUCACUGAGAUGUCUUGGGAAGUAUGAACUUUCUCAGUCAACAAUGUUGGAAAAUAAUGGUCAUUCUCAAGCUUUCGUUUGGACGUUUACUUAGCAUACUCUGUGUAGUUAUCGGUCAUGUUUUACCUGACACUUGAUUCUGGGCUGGAUAUAUAAUCAGUGGAAACCAAUUAUGGUACUGGAAUACUGGAAGCUCAUUACUGUGGACACCUAAUUCAGAGGAAUGCAAUGAGCACACAACCCAUUAGCUUUCCUGCGAUUGUAUUCAGAUAUAUUCCAGGUGGGUGUAUUUGAGUUGGACUUCACUAAGCAUAUCCAAUCCUAGUAAGCUAUUUUCUGAAAGUGGAGGAAUGGUAGUGGUAAAUUUAAUGUGUACUUAUAAUUAAUAAAGCAUUUCUGGGGGAGCCAGAAAUGUGGCUCAAAAAGACCUAACUCAUUUGGGUGUUUUCGAACAAAUAAGCUCAUACCAAAUUAUAUUUUUUAAUGAUUAAUGGCUCGGCUAUAAUUUCUUCGAUCCAUAUCUUUCUUGUUCUCCAUUCCUUGAAUAUCUUGUUUGUUAUAAUAGUGACAAUAAAGCCACAUUUUCUUAAUGAUAUGUAAAAAUACAGCAAGAUAAUUAAUGAAUAAACAGGGAAGAAAUAACCUUUAUGCUUCAUCCCUGUAAAAAAUUGCAUUAAUUCACAGUUAAUAUAACUAUCGUAAUCUUGGUCACAAAAGCCAAAUGAAAUGGCUGCCAAAUAGCACGAUCGGGGAAAUUCUUAGAAGCAAAAUACAAUACAGUAUACUGUAGUACCAUUAUAGUCAUGAAGUACAGUACUCAACAUUUUAAAAAGUUGCAUUCAUAAUUAGAUAUUUAAGUAUUGAUUUAGUCAGUUUACCUGGAU
rnacentral:misc_RNA from 1 species